rnacentral:rRNA from 1 species
GUGGGGAAUAUUGGGCAAUGGGGGAAACCCUGACCCAGCAACGCCGCGUGAAGGAAGAAGGUUUUCGGAUCGUAAACUUCUAUCCUUGGUGAAGAUAAUGACGGUAGCCAAGAAGGAAGCCCCGGCUAACUACGUGCCAGCAGCCGCGGUAAUACGUAGGGGGCAAGCGUUGUCCGGAAUGAUUGGGCGUAAAGGGCGCGUAGGCGGCCUGGUAAGUCUGGAGUGAAAGUCCUGCUUUUAAGGUGGGAAUUGCUUUGGAUACUGUCGGGCUAGAGUGCAGGAGAGGUAAGCGGAAUUCCCGGUGUAGCGGUGAAAUGCGUAGAGAUCGGGAGGAACACCAGUGGCGAAGGCGGCUUACUGGACUGUAACUGACGCUGAGGCGCGAAAGUGUGGGGAGCAAACAGGAUUAGAUACCCGGGUAGUCC